rnacentral:rRNA from 1 species
GAUGAACGCUGGCGGCGUGCCUAAUACAUGCAAGUCGAGCGAACAGACGAGGAGCUUGCUCCUCUGACGUUAGCGGCGGACGGGUGAGUAACACGUGGAUAACCUACCUAUAAGACUGGGAUAACUUCGGGAAACCGGAGCUAAUACCGGAUAAUAUAUUGAACCGCAUGGUUCAAUAGUGAAAGACGGUUUUGCUGUCACUUAUAGAUGGAUCCGCGCCGCAUUAGCUAGUUGGUAAGGUAACGGGUUACCAAGGCAACGAUGCGUAGCCGACCUGAGAGGGUGAUCGGCCACACUGGAACUGAGACACGGUCCAGACUGCGACGGGAGGCAGCAGUAGGGAAUCUUCCGCGAUGGGCGAAAGCAUGAAGGAGCAACGCCGCGUGAGUGAUGAAGGUCUUCGGAUCGUAAAACUCUGUUAUUAGGGAAGAACAAAUGUGUAAGUAACUAUGCACGUCUUGACGGUACCUAAUCAGAAAGCCACGGCUAACUACGUG